GUCCCUCCCUCUGAAGCCCCUCUGUGUAGGGAACAUGACAGCCAGACCAAAGCUCAGAGUUCACAUCAGCAGAGAGGAAAGUCUCCUGAACCCAGAUGUGUGUCCAUGAAGAGUAAUCAGUCUAAAGGACAACCGAUUGCCUUCAAAGAUAGACGCUGUUCUUAUGACGCAGAAGAGGACCAGGAGAGCUCAGAGGUUCCCACAGGUCCGUCUGCCCAGCA